UACAGAGGUCCCAAGCGUUGUUCGGAUUCACUGGGCGUAAAGGGUGCGUAGGUGGCGCGUUAAGUCCGUUGUGAAAUCCCUGGGCUCAACCCAGGAAAUGCUUCGGAUACUGGCGUGCUUGAGGCUAGUAGGGGUCACUGGAACUGACGGUGGAGCGGUGAAAUGCGUAGAUAUCUGGAAGAACACCGGUGGCGCAAGCGGCUUGCUGGGCUGUAACUGACACUGAGGAACGAAAGCUAGGGUAGCGAAUGGG
rnacentral:rRNA from 1 species